GUUCUUUAGUAUAUGCACUCCUCUGUGAAUGCAUGAUGCUGACACAACAUUUCCAAAAUCUUGAGGCAUCUUCAUGCUCUACUAUGAGACUGUCUUCCUAUACACAUGGUAAGAAUGUUAUCACUUCACGAAGAUCACUCAACUUGACUUUAUGGUUGUUCCUGUCCUAUACCCAGGAAGAGGUUCAAACACAUCGGCAGCCUGCUUGUCCUGAAAGUGCAGCACACCUUCACUGAUUUCUUCCCUAUAUUUUCCUAUACUUCUCUAUUUGGUUUUAGUCUCUCUCCUUCCCUACAGAAUUUUUUUCAGUUGCUCUACUGUUUUUUCUUCA